AGCAGCCGCGGUAAUUCCAGCUCCAAUAGCGUAUAUUAAAGUUGUUGCAGUUAAAAAGCUCGUAGUUGAAUUUCGGGGUCAGUAGAUUGGUCGUGCCACUGGUAUGUACUGGCUUCACUGAUUCCUCCCUCUUGUAGAACCGUAAUGCCAUUAAUUUGGUGUUGCGGGGAAACAGGACUGUUACUUUGAAAAAAUUAGAGUGUUUAAAGCAGGCUAACGCUUGAAUACAUUAGCAUGGAAUAAUGAAAUAGGACGUUCGAUCUUAUUUUGUUGGUUUCUAAGAUUGACGUAAUGAUUAAUAGGGAUAGUUGGGGGCAUUAGUAUUCAAUUGUCAGAGGUGAAAUUCUUGGAUUUAUUGAAGACUAACUACUGCGAAAGCAUUUGCCAAGGAUGUUUUCAUUAAUCAAGAACGAAAGUUAGGGGAUCGAAGACGAUCAGAUACCGUCGUAGUCUUAACCAUAAACUAUGCCGACUAGGGAUCGGAUGAUGUUAAUUUUUAAUGUACUCAUUCGGCGCCUUA
rnacentral:rRNA from 1 species